rnacentral:rRNA from 1 species
UACGAAGGGGGCUAGCGUUGUUCGGAAUUACUGGGCGUAAAGCGCACGUAGGCGGAUAUUUAAGUCAGGGGUGAAAUCCCAGAGCUCAACUCUGGAACUGCCUUUGAUACUGGGUAUCUUGAGUAUGGAAGAGGUAAGUGGAAUUCCGAGUGUAGAGGUGAAAAUUCGUAGAUAUUCGGAGGAACACCAGUGGCGAAGGCGGCUUACUGGUCCAUUACUGACGCUGAGGUGCGAAAUGCGUGGGGGAGCAAACAGG